rnacentral:rRNA from 1 species
UUAAUUCGAUGCAACGCGAAGAACCUUACCUGGUCUUGACAUCCACAGAACUUUCCAGAGAUGGAUUGGUGCCUUCGGGAACUGUGAGACAGGUGCUGCAUGGCUGUCGUCAGCUCGUGUUGUGAAAUGUUGGGUUAAGUCCCGCAACGAGCGCAACCCUUAUCCUUUGUUGCCAGCGGUUAGGCCGGGAACUCAAAGGAGACUGCCAGUGAUAAACUGGAGGAAGGUGGGGAUGACGUCAAGUCAUCAUGGCCCUUACGACCAGGGCUACACACGUGCUACAAUGGCAUAUACAAAGAGAAGCGACCUCGCGAGAGCAAGCGGACCUCAUAAAGUAUGUCGUAGUCCGGAUUGGAGUCUGCAACUCGACUCCAUGAAGUCGGAAUCGCUAGUAAUCGUAGAUCAGAAUGCUACGGUGAAUACGUUCCCGGGCCUUGUACACACCGCCCGUCACACCAUG